AUUGAACGCUGGCGGCAUGCCUUACACAUGCAAGUCGAACGGCAGCGGGCCUUCGGGUGCCGGCGAGUGGCGAACGGGUGAGUAAUGCAUCGGAACGUGCCAUUGAGUGGGGGAUAACGUAGCGAAAGUUGCGCUAAUACCGCAUAUUCUGUGAGCAGGAAAGCAGGGGACCGCAAGGCCUUGCGCUCUUUGAGCGGCCGAUGUCAGAUUAGCUAGUUGGUGAGGUAACGGCUUACCAAGGCGACGAUCUGUAGCGGGUCUGAGAGGAUGAUCCGCCACACUGGAACUGAGACACGGUCCAGACUCCUACGGGAGGCAGCAGUCUAGAAGCUUCGGCAAUGGGCGAAAGCCUGACCGAGCGACGCCGCGUGCAGGACGAAGGUCUUCGGAUUGUAAAGCUCUUUCGGCCGGGAAGAAAUCGCAUGGGUUAAUACCCUGUGCGGAUGACGGUACCGGCAUAAGAAGCACCGGCUAACUACGUG
rnacentral:rRNA from 1 species